rnacentral:rRNA from 1 species
AACAGGAUUAGAUACCCUGGUAGUCCACGCCGUGAACGAUGUCGACUUGGAGGUUGUGCCCUUGAGGCGUGGCUUCCGGAGCUAACGCGUUAAGUCGACCGCCUGGGGAGUACGGCCGCAAGGUUAAAACUCAAAUGAAUUGACGGGGGCCCGCACAAGCGGUGGAGCAUGUGGUUUAAUUCGAUGCAACGCGAAGAACCUUACCUACUCUUGACAUCCAGAGAACUUAGCAGAGAUGCUUUGGUGCCUUCGGGAACUCUGAGACAGGUGCUGCAUGGCUGUCGUCAGCUCGUGUUGUGAAAUGUUGGGUUAAGUCCCGCAACGAGCGCAACCCUUAUCCUUUGUUGCCAGCACGUAAUGGUGGGAACUCAAAGGAGACUGCCGGUGAUAAACCGGAGGAAGGUGGGGAUGACGUCAAGUCAUCAUGGCCCUUACGAGUAGGGCUACACACGUGCUACAAUGGCAUAUACAAAGAGAAGCGAACUCGCGAGAGCAAGCGGACCUCAUAAAGUAUGUCGUAGUCCGGAUUGGAGUCUGCAACUCGACUCCAUGAAGUCGGAAUCGCUAGUAAUCGUAGAUCAGAAUGCUACGGUGAAUACGUUCCCGGGCCUUGUACACACCGCCCGUCACACCAUGGGAGUGGGUUGCAAAAGAAGUAGGUAGCUUAACCUUCGGGAGGGCGCUUACCACUUUGUGAUUCAUGACUGGGGUGAAGUCGUAACAAGGUAACC